rnacentral:rRNA from 1 species
CAGGAGGAUUAUUGGGCCUAAAGCAUCCGUAGCCGGCUCUGUAAGUUUUCGGUUAAAUCUGUACGCUCAACGUACAGGCUGCCGGGAAUACUGCAGAGCUAGGGAGUGGGAGAGGUAGACGGUACUCGGUAGGAAGGGGUAAAAUCCUUUGAUCUAUUGAUGACCACCUGUGGCGAAGGCGGUCUACCAGAACACGUUCGACGGUGAGGGAUGAAAGCUGGGGGAGCAAACCGGAUUAGAUACCCGGGUAGUCCCAGCUGUAAACGAUGCAAACUCGAUGAUGCGUUGGCUUGUUGCUAGCGCAGUGUCGCAGGGAAGCCGUUAAGUUUGCCGCCUGGGAAGUACGUACGCAAGUAUGAAACUUAAAGGAAUUGGCGGGGGAGCACCACAAGGGGUGAAGCCUGCGGUUCAAUUGGAGUCAACGCCUGAAACCUUACCCGGAGAGACAGCAGAAUGAAGGUCAAGCUGAAGACUUUACCAGACAAGCUGAGAGGUGGUGCAUGGCCGUCGCCAGCUCGUGCCGUGAGAUGUCCUGUUAAGUCAGGUAACGAGCGAGAUCCCUGCCUCUAGUUGCCACUAUUACACCCUGGUGUAGUAGGGCGAAUUAGGGGGACCGCCGCAGUUAAUGCGGAGGAAGGAAGGGGCCACGGCAGGUCAGUAUGCCCCGAAACUCUGGGGCCACACGCGGGCUGCAAUGGUAACGACAAUGAGUUCCAAAAUCGAAAGAUAGAGGUAAUCCCUAAACGUUACCACAGUUGUGAUUGAGGGCUGCAACUCGCCCUCAUGAACAUGGAAUCCCUAGUAACCGCGUGUCAUUAUCGCGCAGUGAAUACGUCCCUGCUCCUUGCACACACCGCCCGUCGUUUCAUUGAAGUUUGCCUUUAGCGAGGUGAUGUCUAAUUGGCAUUAUCGAACUUGGGGUAAGUGACAAGGGAAAAGUCGUAACAAGGUGACCGUAGGGGAACCUGCGGUCG